rnacentral:lncRNA from 1 species
GUUUUACCAAACAAUUUUAAGUAUCUAAAGAUGGCCACAAAGAUUGAUCAUUUCCACCAGCUGAGAAAAAUUAUAUUAGGAUUGUCAAUUCUUGUUAAUGCUUCUUGAAACACUUUUAGAUGACAUUUCAACUGCACCUGAUUAAUCAGCCUUGCAUUUUAAUUUUCCUAUUGGUGCUUUGAAAUUCUCUAUUAUUUCUAAACACCUUUAUGAGUUGGAGAGAUUAUCAUUUCAUAAAUUAAUGCAUAGAUCUGAGCUGAUUCAAACUAAAAUCUUUAAAAUAAAAUAUGACAAACUAAUUCUCUAUGUGGAUGAAGAGUUGCAGAAAUCACCAUUUACUGACAGAGGUAAACAAUAGAUAAGAGUCUGCCAUACCAGAAACUUCCAUAAAACUACAGUGUAUCACCUGGAUUCUGGAAUAGGUGAGUAGACAAAUAGGACUUGAGAAAUACUAUAGAAUUGUAUAUGUGUACAUGUGCAUAUUUGUAUAUGUACAUGUGUGUGUGGUUGUGUGUAGGGAUGAGUGUGUGUUUAUAAAUACAUAUUAAUUUAGGAAGUCCAAUGUGAUAUAUACGAAAUUUAAACCACAUUUAAGAGCAAUCCUCAAAGAAAAGAAAUUCUCUACAGGCUCAUGCCUGUAAUCCCAGCUACUUGGGUGGCUGAGGCAGGAAGAUGUAAGUUCAAGAUAAAAAAAAAAAAAAAAGUACAGUUUUGUGAGACCCUGUUUCAAAAUUAAAUGAGAAAGGAAUAGGUAUGUGACUCAGUGGAAGAGUGUCCCGAGGUUCCCCAGAACCACAAAAGAGAGAGAAAACAUUCAUACUUCAGCAAAUUGUCACCUAAGUUAUUUUGUUGCAAAUAAAAAAAAGUGUGCUUGAAUGUGUGAAUAUUAAUUGAAAUAUGUCUUUAGAACACAUUGCUAAUAGGAAAAUAAGGCAGAGAACCAAGAAAUUGCAGGUACUAUUUACUUUCAGUACAUGAAAAAGUGUGCAUAUACUAUGAAUGCAUGCAAAUGUAGACAAACCAAAAAAAAAAAAAAAAGAAGAAGAAAAAGAAAAAACACGUGAGCGGGAGAAAAUCAAGGGCUGAGGAUCUGACCUUUGGUUUCAUAACUUUCCCUCAUGGUCACAGACAGCUGUUACAGCUCCAGUUAUCACCUCUUUACAUGUCAACAUUAUGUCAGGAAUGGCAAGGAAUAUAUAUAUUAAUUCCUGAGUUGUCUCCAGAUUACUUUUCCUAAAAUCCCAUUGAUUGGGAUUGACAUCACAUCCUCACUUUACUGCUAAAAGAAAAUAGCAAAGCAAGUCCCUAGAAAUUUCAAUCUCUUUGCAGAAAAAACUCUUGUCACUCAGAGGACGGUUGAAUACCAUGUGUAGGCAAAUAGCUGGGACUGCCACAUUUUUAUUACUUUAACAUAUACUUUGAAAAG